rnacentral:rRNA from 1 species
UAUAUAGAAUGAUCUCAAC